CUCCAGGUCUCUGUUCUCCUACUAAUCUCACUGUAACCCCCCUCCAGGUCUCUGUUCUCCUACUAAUCUCACUACAACCCCCUCCAGGUCUCUGUUCUCCUACUAAUCUCACUGUAACCCCCCUCCAGGUCUCUGUUCUCCGACUAAUCUCACUGUAACCCCCUCCAGGCCUCUGUUCUCCUACUAAUCUCACUACAACCCCCUCCAGGUCUCUGUUCUCCUACUAAUCUCACUACAACCCCCCUCCAGGUCUCUGUUCUCCUACUAAUCUCACUGUAACCCCCUCCAGGUCUCUGUUCUCCUACUAAUCUCAAUUCAACCCCCCUCCAGGUCUCUGUUCUCCGACUAAUCUCACUGUAACCCCCUCCAGGUCUCUGUUCUCCUACUAAUCUCACUGUAACCUCCUCCAGUC
ensembl:lncRNA